UAAGCACCGGCUAACUCGGUGCCAGCAGCCGCGGUAAUAGGAGCCACGCCCUAAUACGGCCCGAGCCAGCAGCCGGGGGCGGUGGAUAUUAGCACCGGCUAACUUUGUGCCAGCAGCCGCAAUAAUACGGGAGCCAGCAGCCAAUACGGGAGCCAGCAGCCGCGGUA
rnacentral:rRNA from 1 species